AAGCCUAAUAUGUUAUUGUUUAUUUUGUUUAAAUAAAUUAAUUGAUGCUGCUGAUAAUUAUUUUUAAAGAACAGACUCGUUCUUUAAUGAUGGAGUCCCUAAAUUAGGCCUAAAUUACUUCAAAGGAAGAAUAUCCAUUCUUUAAUCAGUGUCUAUUGAAGAGUAUUGAAACCACAUCCUGCAUCUAGGAGCAAGUUGUUACGCUCUGCAGGUUAACAAUCGCUCCCCCUCUAAAUGAACAGAUUGAUUUAUACAUGUGGUUUGGUUCUAAUUUAGGGAAUUAAAAAACUGACAAAUGAAACUGUGUAUUUUAACAAAAGUAUAAUCGCAUAAGUUUACGUACAGUUAAUGUGAUAAGGAAGAGAAGAUAAUGUAAAAUUUUUUAAAUUUUACAAUCGCAUACUUUUAGAUAUAUCGUUUUUAUCUUUACUUCAAAUUUAUAAAGUAAAUAUUAUUUUAUUCUAUCUCAAAUUUGAAAAAUAAAAUAAUAAAGUAUACUUAGAUAUCGGAAACCUAAUCCAUAGUUUAAAAUUUAAAGAAAUUAGAGUCAUAUUAGAAAUUGCUGUUUUAAACACUUCAAUUUUAUUAUUUUUGGAAAUAUUAUGUAUAAAAAGGAACAAAAACGUCAUAUAAGAUAGUGUUUAAUGGAAUAAAAAUAUUACGUAAAUAAAGUUGAUUAUUUGUGAUUAUUAUUCAUUUUAACAAUAAUAAUAAAGAAAUAAGCCAAACAAGUGUUUAAUCGGGUAUCAUAUGUGUUAUUUACCUAUGUGUAAUGGCUGUUAAUUAAACUGUGUCGAGCAGAGGAUGGUCGGAUAUUUGGUCGAAAAUCAUGGGCAUCAAUCUAUAACAGAUAGAGGGGGACAUACCUCUUCAAUAUUUUUGCACCAGCAAGUUUCCACCCUCUUUGAAGAUACAUAUGUAUUUUUAUUUUAUACCAAAAUACAAAAAUUAUGGAUAGAAACAAACACACUGCACACAACAGGUUCACUUGAUUUUUUAUAUCCACUUGAACCAAACGAUGAGAAUUUUUUCUUACUCAUUAAUAAAUUAAGGAUAAUUUGAAUUGGCAUACGUUAAAGUAUAAAAAUUUGUCAUUGUCAAUAGUACUUCCUACCUUCCAAUAUAUAUACAUAUACAGAGAAUAUACAGAUCGACCUAAUGUUGAAAAAUCUUUGUUUUGUUACAAGUAUUGGCUAACCAAACUAAGCAAUUAUUUCAACCAUUUCUUUAGUGAGAUAGCAGUAAGUUUUGUAAACUUUUAUGAUGAAAUGUUCAAUUAUAUUUUGUUCUAAUUCAUUUAUAAAGCAGAUAAUGAAUUAGCAAAUUCAAAAAGGGUUUGUAAAGUUUGCUGCUUUGUUUCAAAAUGUAAUUAUGAUUUUAUUGAUUUGCUUUGAAUGAAUUAAUUACCAAUUUUAUUGUAAUAAAAUGAAUUAAUUUAUAUUUUUGUCACAGAUGGUAGAUUUUUUUUUCUAGUCUUCCAGA